UUUAAAAAGAAAAAGAGAGAAUCGUGUGUAUAGUAGCAGGAGGAGAAGGAGAGAAAGAGUAGUGCGUGCGUGAAACUUCAGAAAGGGAGGGAGAACGGUUCCGUUUCAGAGAUUUUGAUCAGGGAACUCGGAGCUGCACUCAAUCCAAAGGUAACCAGGAGGAGUAGUCUAUAGCUUUUAGUUUGAGUUGGAGUCCUUGCUCUGAUACGUAGCACUCGGGGGGAAAUGGACGCUUGUUUUCCUUUCUGUUAUAAUUUGAAUUAAGUUGUUAUUUGAGAAGUUGUUUCUAUUUUAAGUUGUGGGCAAGAUACUAUGUUUUCUUUAAGUUUUAAAGACAUUGGAUUCGCUGCAUAACUAUUUGUCAAAGUGAACUAGUUCAAAGACUAAUUAACUGUCACAAGAGCAUUUAUGUUUAUUUA